AUUUUACUCCCUCCGUCCAAAAAAGCUUGUCCCAAGCUUGUUCCUCAAAUGGAUGUAUCUAGCACUAACUUGGUGCUAGAUACAUCCAUUUGAGGGACAAGCUUUUUCGGACGGAGGGAGUAUGUA
rnacentral:pre_miRNA from 1 species